rnacentral:rRNA from 1 species
CCUACGGGUGGCUGCAGUCGAGAAUUUUUGGCAAUGGGGGAAACCCUGACCAAGCGAUGCCGCGUGCGGGAUGAAGGCCUUCGGGUUGUAAACCGCUGUCAGUGGGGAGAAAAGGAUGGUGAGUUCUCUCAUCAUUUUGAUCUAUCCGCAGAGGAAGUGUGGGCUAAGCUCGUGCCAGCAGCCGCGGUAAGACGAGCCACACAAACGUUAUUCGGAAUUACUGGGCUUAAAGGGUGCGUAGGCUGCGCGGAAAGUUGGGUGUGAAAUACCUCGGCUCAACCGAGGAACUGCGCCCAAAACUACCGUGCUCGAGGAAGAUAGAGGUGAGCGGAACUUACGGUGGAGCGGUGAAAUGCGUUGAUAUCGUAAGGAACACCCGUGGCGAAAGCGGCUCACUGGGUCUUAUCUGACGCUGAUGCACGAAAGCUAGGGGAGCAAAC